GUUGUCAACCAUUCAAAAAACGGAAGAAUACGUCAACGGCAAGCAGUCAACCAUUCUUAGCAACACCUCUAUGUAAUGGCUCAAUAUCUGGAUUCUAUCAGAACUGUCGUGGUUUAAGGAAAAAAUUAUUUAACUUUAACUGGAAUAAUAGAUCCAACAUCAGGAAUAAUCAAAUUAAGUCAUAUGUUUAACACUUUGUCAUUAAAAAAUUUACCAAGAUCGCUCGAUUUAAUUCAUAUUUGUAUUGCUAACUCAAACUUAAAUCCAACAAUUGAAAUUAAAAAAGGGUGCCGAAAAAUCCUCAUCGAGGUCGCAAAAGAUGUGAAACAAUAAUUUCUGUUGAACAGUACCAGUUUCGAGACGGCAGUCGAAGAAUGCGAAAUUUGAAGCGCAGAAAACGGAAAAUUCUUCCAGGUGACUCAUAUUUUGAGGGGUUUACGAAAAUAGGAUGUAGAGGGAGUUAGAGAGAGACAAAUUAUUUUUUAUUUAUAGAUUAAUCAAGGGAAACUCAAAAACUAUAAACGAUAGCCCAUUGAAAUGUGUUAUAAAAAUUAUGAACAGUCUAAUCGAAAAAGAAAAUUCAUCAAAAUGUAUGGUUGUAGUGAUGUCUAAAUUUGCAAAAUACAAACGCCGUGUAAGACGACCAUAUCCACUUGAAGAUCAUGAUCCUAAUUCACAGGACAGUGGUUC